GUGGUAAAUUAGGAGGAGGAGGAGGAGGACGAGGAGGACGAGGAAGAGGAGGAGGAAGAAGAAAGGAAAGAAGAGGAAGAAGAGGAGUGGAAAAGGAGAAGGAGGAAGAGAAAAAGGAGGAAGGGGAAGAUGAAGAGGGGAGGAGGGAAAUAUGAAAAGGAAGCAGAAGAAAAGAAGGAUGAGUAGAAGAGGAACAUGGAAUUGGAAGAGGGAAAGAAGGACAAAAAGAAGAAGAAAAGAAGAAAAAGAAGAAGAAGGAGAAGAAGAAGAAGAAGAAGAGAAGAAAAGAAGGAGAAGAAGAGGAGGAAAAGAAGAAGAAAAGAAGGAAAAGAAGAAGAAGAAAAUGAAGAAGAAAGAAAGAAAUAUAAAAGGAAAGAAAAAAGAGGAAAAGUACAAAAGGGCGCCUUUUGUUGAUGGUGAUGAUUGCUGUGAACAUUCCCUCCACCAAGAACGAGACAAGACAACUUAGAACAUCCUCUGUGGCCCUGGAGGGCGAUAUGUGCUGCUCCUAUCUGCCGCCAUCACCACCACCAUCACCACCACCACCACCACCACCACCACCACCACCACCACCACCACCACCACCACGUUCUUCUUCCACCACUGUACCACACGCAACCUCCAACGACCACAGACAGACAGAUAGAUAGAUAGAUAGAUAGAUAGAUAGAUAGAUAGAUAUACAUUCAUUCAUACAUACAUACAUAGAAAGAUAGAUACAUAGAUAGAUAGAUAGACAGAGAGUUAAAUAUCUUUUUUAACAAUUUUUUUUCUAUGUAGGAGAGGUAACGGCCAAAUGCAACAAAGUUUAGGUAAAAAGGCCCACUGAGGCGUUAGUCCCUAGAAAGAGGUCAGAAACGAUCGUAAAAAAAACUGAAGGAUAAGUAAGUGUCUUGAAACCUCCCUCUUGAAAAAGUUCAAGUCAUAGGAAGGAGGAGAUACAGAAGUAGGCAGGGAGUUCCAGAGUUUACCAGAGAAAGGGAUGAAUGUUUGAGAAUACUGGUUUACUCUUGCAUUAGAAAGGUGAACAGAAUAGGCACGAGAGAAAAUAGAAGGUCUUGUACAUCGUGGCUGCUUGGGGAGGGAAGGCAUGCAGUUAACAAGAUCAGAAGAGCAGUUAGCGUGAAAAUAACAUUGCGGCGAUGAAAAAUAGGCUGAAGACAUUCAAUUAGAGGGGAGGAGCUGAUAAGACGAAGUGCUUUUGAUUCCAUUCUGUCUAAAAGAACAGUAUAAGUGGACACUCCCACAUACAUGUGAAGCAUACUCCAUACAUGGGGGAUAUGCACUCUGUACAGAGUUAGCAACUUGAGGUGUGAGGAAAAAUGGCGGAGACGACUCAACGUACUUAAAGAGCAAAACACACCACCACCACCAUUGUCGUGUGUGUGUGUGUGUGUGUGUGUGUGUGUGUGUGUGUGUGUGUGUGUUGUUUAAUAUUCACUAACGCGAUCAUUCUAAGUUUACUCCCACGAUCUGCAGCAUCACCGUUACCGAAGUAUCGCCAGGAGGAAAUGCAGAAGGAGGCAGGGAGUUCCAGAGUUAACUACCAAAGAGGAUGAAAGACAGAGGGUACCAGUUAACUCUUGCAUUAAGGAAGUGAGCAGAACAAGGGUGAAAAAAAAAAAACAGGCAAGGAGUUUAAGAGUUUACCAGAAAGACUGAGAUAUCUGGUUAACUCUUGCAUUAAGGAGCUGGGCAGGAUAGGACUUAGAAAGUUAAAAGCCUUGUACAGCGAGGCCGGGGGAGGAUAGCAAGAGAUGCAACAUUGUAGCGAAGAGAAAGAGAGAGAUUAAAGACAGUCAUUGAGAGGAAAGGAGUUGAUGAGAGAAAAUGUAAUACAGUAAUCCUACUCAUUCUUACAUCACCACUGCACCAACCACUGCACGUCCAAAUACACACCACCACCACCACCACCACCGCCGCCGCCACCACCACUACCACCACUACAGCUCUCAACCGUAAACAUUUUGUGGUUCCAUAUGAACUAUUUUUCAAAAGCCACCGAUAUUACUAAUUGAAUUUCCAUUAUGUUUUUCCCCACUGAUGAUGCAGGACCCUUGUCAGACUAUCAUUAGAAUAAGAAAAAACACCCUUGAAGAGCCCAGUAAAUCCCCUACGGUCUGUUAGAAGUUGUGGAGCUAAGAUUCCUAAAUGAUUAAGAAAACAAACCCUAUCCUCUUCAUAAUCACCGCGAGACCCCUACGUCCACAUCAUUCAAGUGUCCUAAGGGAUUUAACAAGGGUAGCAUAGAAAGGUCCUUGGCUUUAGUUCUCUGUAUAAGAUGAGAAGUAACGGGUUUGAGCUG